AGAGUCCCAGGUUACAUCAAUCCAGCCUGGAUGGACAGAGAGAUAGGAGGGAGACGGACGGAUGGAUGUCAGAGACCCGGCAGAGAGAGAGAGAAAGAGAGAGACAGGGAGAGAGAGAGGGAGGAAGGUAGAGAGAGAGACAGACA